rnacentral:rRNA from 1 species
AACGAACGCUGGCGGCAGGCCUAACACAUGCAAGUCGAACGCCUCAGCAAUGGGGAGUGGCAGACGGGUGAGUAACACGUGGGAACGUACCCUUCGGUUCGGAAUAACUCAGGGAAACUUGAGCUAAUACCGGAUACGUCCGAGAGGAGAAAGAUUUAUCGCCGAAGGAUCGGCCCGCGUCUGAUUAGUUUGUUGGUGAGGUAACGGCUCACCAAGGCGACGAUCAGUAGCUGGUCUGAGAGGAUGAUCAGCCACAUUGGGACUGGGACACGGCCCAAACUCCUACGGGAGGCAGCAGUGGGGAAUAUUGGACAAUGGGCGAAAGCCUGAUCCAGCCAUGCCGCGUGAGUGAUGAAGGCCUUAGGGUUGUAAAGCUCUUUUACCUGGGAAGAUAAUGACGGUACCAGGAGAAUAAGCCCCGGCUAACUUCGUGCCAGCCGCCGCGGUAA